rnacentral:snRNA from 1 species
GUGCUCACUUCCGCAGCACAUAUGCUAAAAUUGAAGCAAUGAAGAAAAGAUUAGCAUGGCUUCUUCCAUGUUAAAUAAUGAAGCAUUCCAUACAUUU